rnacentral:rRNA from 1 species
AAAUUGAAGAGUUUGAUCAUGGCUCAGAUUGAACGCUGGCGGCAGGCCUAACACAUGCAAGUCGAACGGUAGCACAGAGAGCUUGCUCUCGGGUGACGAGUGGCGGACGGGUGAGUAAUGUCUGGGAAACUGCCUGAUGGAGGGGGAUAACUACUGGAAACGGUAGCUAAUACCGCAUAACGUCGCAAGACCAAAGAGGGGGACCUUCGGGCCUCUUGCCAUCAGAUGUGCCCAGAUGGGAUUAGCUAGUAGGUGGGGUAAUGGCUCACCUAGGCGACGAUCCCUAGCUGGUCUGAGAGGAUGACCAGCCACACUGGAACUGAGACACGGUCCAGACUCCUACGGGAGGCAGCAGUGGGGAAUAUUGCACAAUGGGCGCAAGCCUGAUGCAGCCAUGCCGCGUGUAUGAAGAAGGCCUUCGGGUUGUAAAGUACUUUCAGCGGGGAGGAAGGUGUUGCGGUUAAUAACCGCAGCAAUUGACGUUACCCGCAGAAGAAGCACCGGCUAACUCCGUGCCAGCAGCCGCGGUAAUACGGAGGGUGCAAGCGUUAAUCGGAAUUACUGGGCGUAAAGCGCACGCAGGCGGUCUGUCAAGUCGGAUGUGAAAUCCCCGGGCUCAACCUGGGAACUGCAUUCGAAACUGGCAGGCUAGAGUCUUGUAGAGGGGGGUAGAAUUCCAGGUGUAGCGGUGAAAUGCGUAGAGAUCUGGAGGAAUACCGGUGGCGAAGGCGGCCCCCUGGACAAAGACUGACGCUCAGGUGCGAAAGCGUGGGGAGCAAACAGGAUUAGAUACCCUGGUAGUCCACGCCGUAAACGAUGUCGACUUGGAGGUUGUUCCCUUGAGGAGUGGCUUCCGGAGCUAACGCGUUAAGUCGACCGCCUGGGGAGUACGGCCGCAAGGUUAAAACUCAAAUGAAUUGACGGGGGCCCGCACAAGCGGUGGAGCAUGUGGUUUAAUUCGAUGCAACGCGAAGAACCUUACCUACUCUUGACAUCCAGAGAACUUAGCAGAGAUGCUUUGGUGCCUUCGGGAACUCUGAGACAGGUGCUGCAUGGCUGUCGUCAGCUCGUGUUGUGAAAUGUUGGGUUAAGUCCCGCAACGAGCGCAACCCUUAUCCUUUGUUGCCAGCGGCUAGGCCGGGAACUCAAAGGAGACUGCCAGUGAUAAACUGGAGGAAGGUGGGGAUGACGUCAAGUCAUCAUGGCCCUUACGAGUAGGGCUACACACGUGCUACAAUGGCGCAUACAAAGAGAAGCGACCUCGCGAGAGCAAGCGGACCUCAUAAAGUGCGUCGUAGUCCGGAUUGGAGUCUGCAACUCGACUCCAUGAAGUCGGAAUCGCUAGUAAUCGUAGAUCAGAAUGCUACGGUGAAUACGUUCCCGGGCCUUGUACACACCGCCCGUCACACCAUGGGAGUGGGUUGCAAAAGAAGUAGGUAGCUUAACCUUCGGGAGGGCGCUUACCACUUUGUGAUUCAUGACUGGGGUGAAGUCGUAACAAGGUAACCGUAGGGGAACCUGCGGUUGGAUCACCUCCUUA